AAAUUUUUGAACAUUUUUUUGUGGAAAAAAAGAAAUGUUAAAAAAAAUGUUUCUUUAAGAACAUUCUGAAAAGAAAUCUACCAAAAUCCAGUGAAUUUCACUGGAUUUUGGUUGAUUUUUAUGUGAAUGUUCCAAAGAAAAUAUUAGAAGUUUUACUGAUAUAUAUGGAAUCACUUUAGAUAUUUUUAGGAUUUUUUUGGAAGAUUUUUACUCAUUUUUUGAAAACAUUUACAAUAGUUUUUUUUUUUUUUUUUUUUAAAUUUCGUACCAAAUUUGGGGUUUAAGAAAAAACUUUUAAGGGAAAUGUUUAAGGAUUUUUUGGAAUUUUCUUCCUGAUGAUUUAGCAAUUUUUUAUAAAUUUGGGGAAUUUUUUUUUGCUAAAUUUUUGGAUUUUUUUCAGAGAAAGGAACAAUAUUUUUUGGUGCCCGUAAAUGAAGACAUCAGGAGAGUUAAGAUCAGAAACUAACUCAUAGAGACUCACUCUGCCUUCUGACAGCAUCAAUCAUUAUUUUACACACAUUUUAAAUCACUCUAGUUCAGUUUAUUUAAAGUCAUUGUUUAAUCAUUCUGACAUGUUUUUAAUCAUUUUAGACACAUUUAGAUCAUUUUUGGACACAUUUAGAUCAUUUUGGACAUUUUAAUCAUUUUUCGACAUUUAAAUCAUUUUGGACAUACUUUAAUCAUUUUUGGAUACAUUUAGAUCAUUUUUGACAUAUUUUAAUCAUUUUUGGACACAUUUAGAUCAUUUUUGACAUAUUUUAAUCAUUUUUGGACACAUUUAGAUCAUUCUGGACAAAUGACACAAGAAGAAGCACAAGAAUAUCCUGAACUGACAAACAUGAAGAACUGAGCUCAUGUGAGGCUGCAGGAUCACACAUGUAUGUAUUCUAUACACACAUGUGGUCAUCAUGUGUGUAAACAUGCAGGAAACGGUGGAUUAACGUCGGACGCAGCUGCAGCAGGAAAGGUGAAUGCGGAGUUUCUCAGUGAGACGGAGGACAGGAGCUGUUCCCACACAGACAGGAAGUCCAACUGGAGGACCAGAACGAGUAAAGUGCUGAGCUCAUGUGAGCUCAUUUAGAAGGAAAUACAUCUUCAGCAGCAGGUCAGUGCUGGAGGCUGCAGGAGGAGCUGCUCUACUCUCCUUCAUAUCCAGGUUAAAAACAUCUGAGGCUCCAACAGGAGAAGGAAGAAGAUUAAAGAAAGUUCUGAUCCACUGAUCUGGUCUCAGUGUUUCUACAACAUCUGGUUUCUGCUCACAUGGUGGAUGUUUGGAACUUUUACUGAGAUUAGUGAGAGGUUUAGAGGAAAAAUCUGCUCACAACUCAGAGAAUAAAACACUGGAACGCCUUCAGAGGAGUCAUAGGAGUCUUGGUGGCCUCCCUCUCUAGUCUCUUUCUCCUUCAGAGGAGUCAUAGGAGUCUUGGUGGCCUCCCUCUCUAGUCUCUUUCUCCUUCAGAGGAGUCAUAGGAGUCUUCGUGGCCUCCCUCUCUAAUCUCUCAGGUCUUGAGAAUGUCCUGCUCUAGUCAGAUUUAUUCAUGUUCUAUCUUCCUUCCAUUUCUUAAUGAUGGAUUUAACUGGACUCCAGGAGGUCUUCAGGAACUUUAAAUGUUCUUGUAUCGUCCUCACUGAUGCUUUUCAACAACUUUUUGUGAGAGUUUCUUGGUUC
ensembl:lncRNA